CGCACACCCUGAGAGCUCCCUCCUCUUUCUGCCACUCCAUCUGUCUCUGCCUUGCUGGAUUUCCCUCCCUCAGCCUUUACCUUGUUUCCUUUCCUUCUGCUGCCUGUUCUCCCUGUUUUCCUCCCCUCCACCCUGAUGCCCAGCCGUGCCCAGCCUGUGCCUCCUGUCCCUCAGCCGAGCUGUUUGUAGCGCUCUCCCUUCCCCCUGCUUACAACACUUCCGACACCAUGGGAUUAUUUUUCUUUUUCCCCUUGUCUUGUAGCUUUUGGCUCCCAAGGCCCUUGAUUUCCUUUGGAGUUUGGGAGGAGAGACGUGGGGAGGAGGAGGAGGGGGGGAGAGGCUGCCUCUCUUAGGGCCUUCGUCAGAGCCAAGUGGCCAGGCAGAGCCUCAGCCCUUGCAGAGCAGCGGUGAGCAGCGAGGACAAGAUGAAGCAGCUCUUCCUCCUCCUCUUCCUGGGGCUCAUCAGCAGCUCCUUGCAGAUCGAAGACAACAAGAUCCCUGGGCUGUGCUCGGGGCAGCCGGGCAUCCCAGGGACCCCGGGCCUGCACGGGGGGCAGGGUUUGCCAGGCAGAGACGGACGGGAUGGCCGGGAUGGAGCCAUGGGCAUGCCGGGGGAGAAGGGCGACAUGGGCCCUCCUGGAGUGCCGGGUCCCCGCAGGGAGGUGGA